rnacentral:rRNA from 1 species
AUUGAACGCUGGCGGCAUGCCUUACACAUGCAAGUCGAACGGUAACGGGCCUUCGGGUGCCGACGAGUGGCGAACGGGUGAGUAAUAUAUCGGAACGUACCUUUCAGUGGGGGAUAACGUAGCGAAAGUUACGCUAAUACCGCAUAUUCUGUGCGCAGGAAAGCAGGGGACCUUCGGGCCUUGCGCUGAUUGAGCGGCCGAUAUCAGAUUAGCUAGUUGGUGAGGUAAAGGCUCACCAAGGCGACGAUCUGUAGCGGGUCUGAGAGGAUGAUCCGCCACACUGGAACUGAGACACGGUCCAGACUCCUUCGGGAGGCAGCAGUGGGGAAUUUUGGACAAUGGGGGCAACCCUGAUCCAGCCAUGCCGCGUGAGUGAAGAAGGCCUUCGGGUUGUAAAGCUCUUUCGGCCGGGAAGAAAUCGUAUGGGCUAAUACCCUGUGCGGAUGACGGUACCGGCAUAAGAAGCACCGGCUAACUACGUGCCAGCCGCCGCAGUAA